CAACCUCCACAUGAACAAGCCUAAAGUAGCCUGUUGGAGCUCCAGGGACAUGUGGCCCAGCUCUCUGUUAUUAAACAUCUGGAUGGCUGAGUAUCAUUUUAGCCACAGUAAAUAGCUUAAGGGAAGACUGCAUCUUAUAUUUCCCCACAAAGAGGCCAAAUGGUGUGUGGGCCGCACCAGCAAAGGAACUGGAAAAUCUCUGUGUGGAGUGGAUUUGAAGGAGAGUCAUUCUUGGUCUAUGAAUCGCUUUUCUCUUCCUCUUCCAAACAUCUGUGAAACAAUGAAAUAAUAAUGUGUGAAGACUCAAGAUUGCCUUUGAGAAACUCAGCAGCCAAGAAGACUUCUGUCAGAGCAUCUAUGAAGAAUCGGGAAAGUAUGGAAUUCCCAGGCCCCACAGUUAUUCCAGGAGGAGCUGCUGUAUAUAUGUGGACAGUGUUGUUUGACUCCACUGCCCUGGUGAAAUGAGUAACUUUCCAGAGAUUUCCAAUUGGCAAGAUUGCUAGGAUACAGAGAAAUGUCUCAACCUUUGUGAUUGGCUACCAUUGCCCAUUAUGGGAUGAAGAUUCCACAGGAGCUUCCGUGGGCUUUAGUAAGAGAUGGUUAGGCCUGUGUUGAGGAACAAGCAGGUGGGUUGUGCCUUCCUUUUUAAAAAGCAGAGCAUUAACGCAGUAA